UACGGGGGGAGCAAGCGUUGUUCGGAUUUACUGGGCGUAAAGGGCGCGUAGGCGGUCAGCACAAGUCAGUUGUGAAAUCUCCGGGCUUAACUCGGAAAGGUCAACUGAUACUGUGCGACUAGAGUGCGGAAGGGGCAACUGGAAUUCUCGGUGUAGCGGUGAAAUGCGUAGAUAUCGAGAGGAACACCUGCGGCGAAGGCGGGUUGCUGGGCCGACACUGACGCUGAUGCGCGAAAGCCAGGGGAGCGAUCCGG
rnacentral:rRNA from 1 species